GAUGAACGCUGGCGGCGUGCCUAAUACAUGCAAGUCGAGCGAACAGACGAGGAGCUUGCUCCUCUGACGUUAGCGGCGGACGGGUGAGUAACACGUGGAUAACCUACCUAUAAGACUGGGAUAACCUCGGGAAACCGGAGCUAAUACCGGAUAAUAUAUUGAACCGCAUGGUUCAAUAGUGAAAGACGGUUUUGCUGUCACUUAUAGAUGGAUCCGCGCCGCAUUAGCUAGUUGGUAAGGUAACGGCUUACCAAGGCAACGAUGCGUAGCCGACCUGAGAGGGUGAUCGGCCACACUGGAACUGAGACACGGUCCAGACUCCUACGGGAGGCAGCAGUAGGGAAUCUUCCGCAAUGGGCGAAAGCCUGACGGAGCAACGCCGCGUGAGUGAUGAAGGUCUUCGGAUCGUAAAACUCUGUUAUUAGGGGAGAACAAAUGUGUAAGUAACUAUGCACGUCUUGACGGUACCUAGUCAGAAAGCCACGGCUAACUACGUG
rnacentral:rRNA from 1 species